rnacentral:lncRNA from 1 species
AUUUACAUAGCAUGCUUGAAAAUCAGAAUAAUUCGAUUUAUUUGAAUACAGAAGCAUGCAAAACAGAUAAAAUAACAAUCAUAUUGGAUUUGAUUAUCUAAAAAUACUCCUUAAGAUGUCGAAAGUAAUACUAGAUUCCUUAUCAAAAUCUUGAUGUUUUCUUCUUUACUGUUUUCCUUUCUUUUUCUUCUUCUUUCACUAUUUUACAGUCUCUCUCUCUCUCUCUAAAUCUUGAAAAAUGAAAGAAAUAGAAAUGUGGAGAGGAAGGGAAGGGAAAAGGUAAUUUAUAGAAUGUCAGAAUCAUUGGAUUCACGCCAAGUAGCGAAAUCUGGUAAAGAGAGAGGAGAAAAAGAUUCUUGACAUGAAAAACGAAGGAGAAAAAUUUCUUCCACUGGCGGCGGUGGCGUGCCACCCAAGGCAGUGGCAGUAUACUGCCCGAGGUGGCAAUGCCUGAUUGGCGCGCUGUAGGGUAGCUUAUAGGCUGUGACAGG